CCCUGGUUAGCUCGGUUGGUAGAGUACUCCACUGGAAAUGGAGAGGCCCCUGGUUUGAUAACACGACCAGGUA
rfam:Ixodes scapularis strain Wikel colony gcontig_1108379480318, whole genome shotgun sequence.